GCUGGGCAUGGUGGCGCGUGCCUGUAAUCCCAGCUACUCGGGAGGCUGAGGCAGGAGAAUUGCCUGAACCCAGGAGGUGGAGGUUGUGGUGAGCCGAGAUCGCGCCAUUGCACUCCAGCCUGGGUAACAAGAGCGAAACUCCGUCUCAAAAAAAGAAAAGACGGAGUUUCGCUUUUGUUGCCUAGGCUGGAAUUCAAUGGCACAAUCUCAGGUCACUGCAACCUCCGCCUCCCGGGUUCAAGUGAUUCUCCUGUCUCAG
rnacentral:SRP_RNA from 1 species